AGGUCAAGAUCGGGGCAGCGAUGCCAGGACAGUUUUGAAGGAUGAAAAUGAGCUCAUCAGGCAGUUGAGGAUGGAGACAGUGGGAACAUGCUGUACAGAGUCUGCCUGAAGCAUAUAGUAAUGUAUUGUUUUCAAGGAUGUGGUCAGACAACCUUAAUCACUUGGGAGUGGCUGGAGGUGAGAAGGAUGGGAGAGGAGUGGGAGGCAAAACUGUUGGAGUGGAGCCAUGUGAUAGAGCUAACAGGCCAUGCUGCCACUCUGACGCUUCACCCGUUGCAGACAUUGCUAAUCAAUCACAGACCUCUUCUUUGCUGAGCCAGAAUAUGACUCUGACACUGUGGGCAAAUUCUCCAGCCACCUGAUUGGCACUGACCUGCAAGUUGAAGGCUAUUUGCCAUCCCUGAGUGAGGACUAGAGACAGGUCCUUCCAGAACCCACACAUGUAUCCCUGCCCCCCAACGGGGAGUCUUAUCAGACCUUUCCUGUCUCUGCCACACUGUGGUUUGGGCUGCAGUGAGCUGGCAAGCCAUAGUCUUGCCUUCCUUUAGAUUAGCCUUCUCUGGGUCCAUGUCCUAACCACAGGUCUAGGAGGCAGCUGGAGCAGCCUGCCAUUUGAGGUCUGGCUGGCCCUGGGCUGUUCCACCCUUCCCUCCCCACAGCGAAGGCAGCAGUACCACCCAGCCCAGCCAGGGUUGACUCUGUGGGUGGGCGGAUCCCUCUGCUGGGUCUGGCUUUCUCUCCACCUGUAGCCGCUGCAGCCCAGGGCCACCACAUCAGGCCCAGCAACAACCUUCCUCGCCCAAGAUGAUUCCAGUUUGGCCAGAAUCUCAUGGUGCUUAUCAAAGGCUCCUGGAAGUCUGUCCUUGCCCAGCGGAGCUCCCUAAAGGCAGAGACAAGCCUGAGUUUUUUUGUGGAAUCUUUGGUGCCCCACGUACUGGGCGUGACUCCAGAGAGCGGCAGGAAAGAGGAAUGCUGGACCCUGCUGUUCAGAUACCUUACCACCACCCGGACUCCCCUGUCCCCCAUCAAUUCCAGGUGACAGAACCAAAGGCGACCUUGUUGGCCAAGCAGAGUGAAGCUUCAGGGAAUUCUGGGGAGCUUCCUUGGGGAGUCGGGGGGUGGUUAGUUGGGUGGAAGGGCUGCAUGUGCCCAUUCUGAGAGUCCAGCUGCUGCUUUUACUGGGUGCAUGAUAAGCUCUGUAACCCAUGUGCAGUUUUAUGGGAAGAAAGUGUUGGCUUGCACAAAACAUAUCUGAAUAUCCUGAUGGAGUUCACCCCACCUGUUUAAUGAAUAGUGACACUGAGGCUCAGAGGAGAGUGACUUGCUCCACGAGCACUUGAUGGCAGAGUUGGGCCUAGAACGCACGUGUCCUGAUUCUGAACUCUGUGCUUCAUGCCCACCACAGCUCAGGCCAGGCGGGGCCAGGAGCUGCCUGCCUAGAGUAAGAAUGGGGGCUCUUUCCUUGUCAGAAAUUUCAAGCAAGGCCUUUUUGGAUUUUAUUAAGCAGGACUUGACUACUAAAGUAGGGGAAACCCAGCUUACUUACAUUCCCCUCUCCAUCUUUAUUGAUAUAACUGACAUAUAAUAUAGUGUAAGUUUUGAACCAAUGGUUACCAAGGAGGAAGGGAGAGGGAUGGGAUAGUUAGGGAGUUUGAGACUGACAUGUACCCACUGCUAUGUUUGAAGUGGAUAACCAACAAGGACCUACUGUAUAGCCCAGGAAACGCUGCUCAGUGUCAUGCGGCAGCAUGCAUGGGAGGGGAGUUUGAGGGAGAAUGAAUACAUGUGUAUGUUUGGCUGAAUCCCUUUGCUGUCCACCUGAAACUGUCACAGCAUUGUUAACUGGCUAUACUCCAAUAUAAAAUAAAAAGGUAAAAAAUUAUUGUAAGUUUCAAGUGCACAGUAUGAUGACUUGAUGCACCCAUAUACUAUACGGUGCUUACCGCAAUAAGGUUAGGUAACACAUCUUUCACCUCCCAUAAAUACCAUUUUAUUGUUGUCGUUGUUAUGGUGAGAACAUUUCAGAUCUACUCCUUUAGUCACGUUUCAAGUACACAAUACAGAAAUGUUGACUGCAGUUCACCAUGCUGUGCAUCACAUCUGGGACUUAAUCAUUUAAUAACUGAAAGUUUGUACUUGUUGACCAACUCUUCCUGUUUACCCCACUCAGGCCCUGAAACCAUCCUUCUACUCUCUGUUUCUACGAGUUUGAUGGUUUUAGAUUCCACAUGUUAAGUGAAAUGAUACGGCUUUUAUCUUUCUCCAUCUGACUUAUUUCACUUAGCCUACUACCCUCAAGAUCCAUCCACAUUGUAACAAAUGGCAGGAUGUCCUUUUUAUGGCUAAAUAAUAUUCCAAUGCAACGGAAUGUUUCAUUGCAUAUAUGUAAAGCACAUUUUCUUUAUCCAGUUCAUCCGGUGAUGGACAGCAGCUUCCUGUUUCUCUUGGGGAAUGUGGAACAGUUCUGGCCAGAAACCUGCAGAUCUUCUAGAUGAAAAUGCCACCAAAGUAUUUAGCAAGAGUGUCUGCAUACAGUAGGUGCUCAAAACUGCUAACUGAGGCUGACACAGCUGUGUUUGCCUACCCAGAGUCACCUUCCCACCGUUUGACUCACAGAAAAGAGUCCAGGAGGACAGGAAUGAAGGCCAGAGUUUCCUCCAGGGCCAGGGGCCAGAGUGUAUGUUCUCCUCUCUCCCUUGUACAUGUCAUGACCCAGGUCUGAAUGUUGUGGGGGGUACUGGUUUGAGGGUGCAAAGACUCCUGGCUCCAGGGUCCUAGCCCUAGGUUGUAGAUCUUGGAUCCUAGGCCUAAGGUGUCACCAGCCCUUUCCUGUGGGCCUCAGUUUUCUCCUCUGUGGAAGGGAGAAGUUGAACCAGCUGGUGAUUCUCAACCCUGGCUGUCCAGAACAUCACCUGGGCAGCUUUCAAACAAUCCCCAGGCCCAGGGCUCACCCUGAGUCAACUGAACUUCAGUGAGUUCCAUCUGAGUAUCUGUGGUUUUGAUUCUGAUUCCCAGCAAAGGGUGAUUGGGGGGUGAGGGGGUCCUUGAGCUGCAUGGGUUCUCAAUAGGCUGCUGUGUGUAGGGUUCUACAUCGCCUCUUGACUUUGAUUGGGCAUCCAUCUCAGCUGGAAGUGUUCCCCAGCAUGUCUCUCCUGCUGUGUAACAGAUGACAGGCAGUGGGCCCCCGGUUGCUGCCGGGAGAAGGCCACCCAGGGAUUGGACUCCAGGGCCGAGACCCCAGAGACGACAUUCUUCUCUGCACAGGCCAGUCUGGGCUGCUCUGAUUAGAGCAUGGCCUCCAGCUCUGAGGCAGACUUCCAGCAGGAGUCAAUCCAUCCAAAGACUUGGGACUCUGGUGGCCUGGAUGGGGAUCCUGGCAGGAAGCUGGGGUUGGGGCCUCAGUAGGAGCCCGCUGAGGGCCAGCAUCCAAAGUCAGACUCCCAACAUCCAAUUCAGGUUCUGCUGCCUCUGGGCCUCAGUGAUCUCAUCUGUAAAAUGGGCCAUAUGAUCCUCAGCUCAGGUGGUGUUAGGAGGCUGCUGUGGGGAUUCUGAUAUGGAGACCCUUGGAGGGAGGUUCAGGCAGUACCAGGAUGUAAAGUCUCAGGUGGAAUGACAGUACGGGAAUGGAAGCUAAGGGAGCAGGGCUCAGAUGAUACGGUACUGGGAAAGCUGAACCCAGGGAGUCUUUAUACAGGAGAACAAGGCCUCAACACGUGCAUACAGGUGGGAGUAUUUUCACCAAGGCAUCCUUUGAAAGAAGAAUUUUAAGGACUUCCUUGGUAGUCCCAUGGUUAAAAGCCUACCUUCCGACGUAAGGGACGUGGGUUUGAUCCCUGGUUGGGGAACCAAGAUCCCACAUGCCUCAGAGCAACUAAGCCCAAGAGUUGCAGCUACUGAGCCUGCACACGCUGGGGCCUGCACCACUAGAGAGUCGGUGUGAUGCAACGGAGACCCAAUGCAGC
rnacentral:lncRNA from 1 species